UCGCGGCUUAUCACCGGCAGUCCCCUUAGAGUGCCCAACUGAAUGAUGGCAACUAAGGGCGAGGGUUGCGCUCGUUGCGGGACUUAACCCAACAUCUCACGACACGAGCUGACGACAGCCAUGCAGCACCUCCGCAGCGGUUCUUGCGAAAAGGGAUAUUUCUAUCCCGGUCCACUGCGCUUCGAGCCCAGGUAAGGUUCUUCGCGUUGCUUCGAAUUAUACCACAUGCUCCACCGCUUGUGCGGGCCCCCGUCAAUUCCUUUGAGUUUCAGCCUUGCGGCCGUACACCCCAGGCGGGGCACUUACAGCGUUAGCGACGGCACCGGGAGGGUCGCUCCCCCCGACGCCCAGUGCCCAUCUUUUACGGCGUGGACUAC
rnacentral:misc_RNA from 1 species